AAUGAACGUAUCAAUGUGUAUUUCCUAGACCGAGAGGUACGGGUAAACCGCUGAACCACUUUCAUGCUUGGGAUUGUGAACUGAAACUGUUCACAUGAAC
rfam:Glossina palpalis gambiensis isolate 146720 unplaced genomic scaffold Scaffold125, whole genome shotgun sequence.